GGCUUCUAAUACAGGAAAAUAAAUAACAGAUCCCUCCUCUUCAAGACAGCUGCAGCUAAAAGAGGACCUUUUUUCCACAAUGAACUGCUGUUCUAAGAAAUAGCCCUCUGCUGAGAUCCCCUUUAAAAUUCCUAGCAGCAUUCACCCUGUCUCAAUUGCUAGUGCAACAAGUUCAGUCUGGGUACUGAAUGUAACAAUUUGAUGACUGUUUCUGUGUUCGGAAUGGAGGGGUUCAAAGACUGCAAAUAAAACCUAGUGAUGUCCCAGUAGGACCUUGCCAACAUAAGGAUAUUUCAGAAUACUCUGACUUAUGUAGUGUAGAUAUAAUGGGACAAUCUGCAGAUGGUAAUGAGCUAGAUGUUGCACUGCUAAUUACA